AACGAACGCUGGCGGCAUGCCUAACACAUGCAAGUCGAACGAGACCUUCGGGUCUAGUGGCGCACGGGUGCGUAACGCGUGGGAACCUGCCCUUAGGUUCGGAAUACCUCCCCGAAAGGGGUCCUAAUACCGGAUAAUGUCAUCGCACCAAAGAUUUAUCGCCUUUGGAUGGGGCCGCGUUGGAUUCGCUGGUUGGUAGGGUACAAGCCUACCAAGGCGACGAUCCAUAGCUGGUCUGAGAGGAUGAUCAGCCACACUGGGACUGAGACACGGCCCAGACUCCUACGGGAGGCAGCAGUAGGGAAUAUUGGACGAUGGGCGAAAGCCUGAUCCAGCAAUGCCGCGUGAGUGAUGAAGGCCUUAGGGUUGUAAAGCUCUUUUACCCGGGAUGAGAAUGACAGUACCGGGAGAAGAAGCUCCGGCUAACUCCGUG
rnacentral:rRNA from 1 species